GACGAACGCUGGCGGCGUGCUUAACACAUGCAAGUCGAACGAUGAAGCUGGAGCUUGCUCCGGUGGAUUAGUGGCGAACGGGUGAGUAACACGUGAGCAAUCUGCCCUUGACUCUGGGAUAACUGCGGGAAACUGUAGCUAAUACCGGAUACGAGGCUCGAAGGCAUCUUCGGGUCUGGAAAGAAUUUCGGUCAAGGAUGAGCUCGCGGCCUAUCAGCUUGUUGGUGAGGUAAUGGCUCACCAAGGCGACGACGGGUAGCCGGCCUGAGAGGGUGACCGGCCACACGGGGACUGAGACACGGCCCAGACUCCUACGGGAGGCAGCAGUGGGGAAUAUUGCACAAUGGGCGAAAGCCUGAUGCAGCAACGCCGCGUGAGGGAUGAAGGCCUUCGGGUUGUAAACCUCUUUUAGCAGGGAAGAAGCGAAAGUGACGGUACCCGCAGAAAAAGCACCGGCUAACUACGUGCCAGCAGCCGCCGUAA
rnacentral:rRNA from 1 species